AUAUAUAUUAUAUGCUCUUGUUUCGUGCUCUUGUUUCGUCUUUUGCAUAUAAUCAUAGGAAUUCUUAAUACGGAUAUUGAGACUUCUACUACUCCGGAUAUUGCUUAUGUACCUGAUCCCGCUUCGGCUUCAUAUCCUAUAACUAACAGGAACUAGCCUACUUUGAUCUCAACUCCAGAACUCCACUUUCCUCGACACGAACCUC
rnacentral:lncRNA from 1 species